rnacentral:rRNA from 1 species
GGUGAACGCUGGCGGUGGGCCUAACACAUGCAAGUCGAACGGAAAGGCCCUAAGUUUUUGGUGUUCCGGGGGGGGGGAGGGGGACGGGAGAGGAAAAUAACCGGCCCUACUUUUUGGGGGGAGUUCAGGAAACGAGGCUUAAGCUAAUACAGGAGACCCCGUUCGGGUGUAGGGGGUGGAAAUUCGCGGCUGGUGCGGAUGGAUGCGCGGCUGUCGAGCUUGUUGGUGGGGGAGUGGCUGACCCAGGCAUUGGAGGGUCGGCGGCCUGAGAGGGUGACCGGCCACAUUGGGACUGCGAUAGGGCCCAGACUGCUACGGUAGGCAGCAGUGGGGAAUAUUGCACAAUGGGCGGAAGCCUGAUGCAGCAACGCCGGGUGCGGGAUGACGGCCUUCGGGUUGUAAAACGCUUUCGGCUGUGACGAAGCGUUAGUGACGGUAAUGGGUAAAGAAGCACCGGCUAACUACGUG